AUUGAACGCUGGCGGCAUGAUUUACACAUGCAAGUCGAACGGUAACAGGCCGCAAGGUGCUGACGAGUGGCGAACGGGGGAGUAAUGCAUCGGAACGUGCCCAGUCGUGGGGGAUAACUACUCGAAAGAGUAGCUAAUACCGCAUACGAUCUAUGGAUGAAAGCGGGGGACCGUAAGGCCUCGCUUGGUUGGAGCGGCCGAUGUCAGAUUAGGUAGUUGGUGGGGUAAAGGCUCACCAAGCCAACGACCUGUAGCUGGUCUGAGAGGGCGACCAGCCACACUAGGACUGAGACACGGCCCAGACUCCUGCGGGAGGCAGCAGUGGGGAAUUUUGGACAAUGGGCGCAAGCCUGAUCCAGCAAUGCCGCGUGCAGGAAGAAGGCCUUCGGGUUGUAAACUGCUUUUGUACGGAACGAAACGGCUCUGGUUAAUACCCGGGGCUAAUGACGGUACCGUAAGAAUAAGCACCGGCUAACUACGUG
rnacentral:rRNA from 1 species